AAGGCUGGCAAACGGACAGGACCGGAUCAACAGGACCGGUUUUACCGGAACCGGUACCGGAACCGGUCCUCGUUACCGGAUUUCCUUACCGGAACCGGAUCUUACCGGAACCGGUUUUACCGGAAAUUUCCAAAGGUUCCGUCCGGUCCCUUAGUUACCGGAUUGGAACCGGUUUGGACCGGACCGGAACCGGUUCUUA
rnacentral:lncRNA from 1 species